rnacentral:lncRNA from 1 species
GAGGCCACAGACCCCCGGAUGCAGCUGCGGCGGAAGGCGCGUCCUGUUGGCUACUCCCGGUUUUCCUCUGCGUUUCUCCGCCUCGGAGACGCCGCAGUAAUAACGGGCCCACCAGCUACUGACGAGCUCACUCAGAGAUGCUUUACUUGCGCACACCUAACUAAUUGCCCUGUAAGGACGAUAGCUGUGAGUAGGCCUUGUACCUGUGGAACCAAGGAAACGUCUGCUGAAUUCAGAAAUUCAGAAGCUGGAUCCUGCCCUCUGGCCCUCUGGGACUGAGGAAUUGUACCUUAGGGGUGCACACCUUGGAGAAAGCACACACCUCCAGUUUGUUGGACAGCAGGAUCAAAAACCAACCCACCAACACCUUAAAAACAUAUGUAUUUAUUUUAUGGAGGCAUCCUCUGAUAAAGAAUGCUAAGACCUUACCAAAGAUUUCACAGGGACACAGAAGACAAGCAGGGAAUGAAGAUCCAGCCUGCAACCAUCUUAGGCUUAAAAGCCAUCUUAUCAUAAAGACAAAGGAGGUCCAUUCCUAUUUAUGAUUAAACUUCUGUUUUUCAAGGAUUGGGCUAUGACUCACCUGUAAUCUUAACUACAAAUAGUUCAGUACUGCCUGUUCCAGGAAUGGCAGUCAUGUCUUUGUUUCAAAGAAUUGUUUAUAACCAUCUUGUUUCAAAAGAUUAUAUGACCACCUUGUUAUGAC